rnacentral:pre_miRNA from 1 species
UCUUAUGUAAGAGCAAAGAAAGUGGUUUCUUGAGAUGGAAUCUACACCUUGUAAAGUUGCUGUGAA